GUUCCAUACUGUAGUACAAAUUUACUCCCAAUAGCAAUAUAUAAAAUAUCCUGCUUAUCCAUAUUCUCAUUACUUUCAGAUUAAAUUAGAUGCCAAACAAAUAAGAUGGCAUUGUGGUGUUGGUUUUUAUGUUCCUAGCCACUACUGAUGAUGAAAAUUCUUUAUAGUUUUUAUCACUGAUCUGGGUUUUCUUUUUUGUGCAAUGUCACUACUUAUCUUUGGCCCACAUUUCUGUCUUACUUUUGAGCUUUUUGUAUCAGCUUGAAGCAUUUACAUCUUCUUGAUGCUGGUGUUUUCUCGGUUGUGUCUUGUGUACGUGCCCUUGUGAAGCACAGGGUGCAGGGGCAGAUUUGAUGUGUCUAGGGAAAUGCUGUGAGAGACAGAAUUAUACCAGAUGGUCACAGGGAGACAGCAGCAUUCAGGGAGAUCAGGGAAGCUUUGUGCGGAAAACAGCAAUGCAGCCUGUGUCUCGGAGUGAGCAGGGGUUAGCAGUGGAAGAGGACACUCUUAAGUGGAGGUGGAGGUGGAGGUGGAGGAGAGCAGCACACGCUGGAAGGGCAGCAGGGCUGGAAGGGAAACAGCUUGUGGGGGUGAAGUGUAGAAGGGUGGUCCUCCAUGGGUUGACCACACCCAACCCUAAACCCAUUUUAAGUGUUGUGCUAUUAAGUGUUGCGGUGUAAGAUCCAUGGGACACCACUGGACUGUCUUGAGUGGGUACUUAACAAUCAACUUGUGUUCUGAAAAGCUGUCUCUGAUUGUAGAGAGUAAGUUGUGAAAAUGUGCUGCCCAGUGGCCCCUGGAUACCACUUAGCAGGCUUUUUUUUUUGUAAUACAGUAAGAAAUGUUCACAGGUUGAACUGUGCUGUUGGAUGGAGAAUGAGAGAAAUGAAUGUAUUAGAGAAAAGCUAAAUGAUGACAUCAACAGGACUUUCUUUAAGAAAGAAAGAAAGUGAAGUCGCUCAGUUGUGUCCGACUCUUUGCGACCCCAUGGACUGUAGCCUACUAGGCUCCUCUGUCCAUGGGAUUUUCCAGGCAAAGGUACUGGAGUGGGUUGCCAUUACUUCUUUAGUAGAAGGUACAUUUGACCCAUCUGAUUCUAGGAUGAGAUCCAAGUUCUACGAUCUCAAAGUGAUUACUAAGAAACUUGUUACAUCAAGC
rnacentral:lncRNA from 1 species